rnacentral:rRNA from 1 species
GUGUCAGCCGCCGCGGUAAUACGGAGGGUGCAAGCGUUAUCCGGAUUCACUGGGUUUAAAGGGUGCGUAGGCGGAUUGGGAAGUCCGUGGUGAAAUCCCCGAGCUCAACUCGGGAACUGCCGUGGAUACUCUCAAUCUUGAAUAUCGUGGAGGUAAGCGGAAUAUGUCAUGUAGCGGUGAAAUGCUUAGAUAUGACAUAGAACACCAAUUGCGAAGGCAGCUUGCUACACGGUUAUUGACGCUGAGGCACGAAAGCGUGGGGAUCAAACAGGAUUAGAUACCCUCGUAGUCC